GAUGAACGCUAGCGGCAGGCUUAAUACAUGCAAGUCGAACGGUAACAGGUGUAGCAAUACAUGCUGACGAGUGGCGCAAGGGUGCGUAACACGUGUGCAACUUACCUUCAACAGGGGAAUAGCUCUGAGAAAUCGGAAUUAAUACCCCAUAACAUUAUGAUAAGGCAUCUUAUUAUAAUUAAAGCUCAGGUGGUUGAAGAUGGGCACGCGCGACAUUAGCUAGUUGGAGAGGUAACGGCUCACCAAGGCUACGAUGUUUAGGGGUUCUGAGAGGAUACACCCCCACACUGGUACUGAGACACGGACCAGACUCCUACGGGAGGCAG
rnacentral:rRNA from 1 species